GGGGCCUCAGCCGGCGGCAGAGCUCCCACGCCGGCAUCCCCUUCUCUUCCCAACUCCCCCUUUUUCUCCCCAAACAUCCCUCUCCCCCGUCAGCUCUCUCUGCUCCUCAGGUACUCUUCCUCCCCCCCCCCAAACUUCCCCUAUCUGCCCCUUGGACACCCCCCCCCGAACAUACCCUCCUCUGCCCCCAAUGGCGCCUCUCGCCUGCAGGCAGCCCCUUCUGCCCCCAAACACCCUCCUCUGCCCCUCCGACCCUCCCCUCUAACAUUCUCCUAGACUCCUCCCUUUCCCCCCAGAGGCCCCCUCCAUGCCCCUCACUCCUCUCAAACGUACCCCCCUCCCUCUGAUACCUUCCCUUCUCCCAAAGGCCCCCCUCUCCCUUGAUAGCCCACACUUUUCAAAUGUAUCCUCCUCUCCCCACAAAUACAUCCUUCUCUCCUUAAACACCCCUCCCCAACAUCCACCUCUGCACCCCGCAGUCAUGGCCUGCAGCCCAGGCACCCACAGUCCCUCGGGUGCCCCAGCUCCCCCUCAGCACCUCCAAAGGAAGUCAGGGCCACAAGAAGCACGCUGAAGGUACAGCAGGACUCGGCCCUCGACCAGCCUCUGAUUCCAGACAACUUCACUCCUCCCACACUUGCCGAGGAAGCCCAGAGGUUCCUGGAAAACUUUGAUGUCGAGAGAUGCCCAACAAAAUGGUGCCCUCUAAAGAGGCUGGAACACCCUCUCCUCCACAGCACAGGCUGCAUGCAUCUUACUGUUGGGAGACCGUCCUUCUGCUUCUCCUGCUGCCGUCCCCCCACGUUCGGGGCACUGUUCCUCCUUCUCCUUGCACAGCGCCAGAGUUCUGCAGGUCAGACAGGAAACGUGGCCUAGGAAACAGGAGUGAGUAGCUGCGACUGGUGCGGAGGAGAGCAGGGUGGCCGGACAGUGCCGAGACAGGGAGACGCCAUCCCUCUGGCCCCAGGCUGCUGCCAAAGUGUGUGGGGACGGGAUGGGGCCUGAGCAGUUGCCCUGCCCUCCCUAGGAGAUGGCCAUGGGCUUCACAUGGGGCAAGGCCGCCGUGGGGUGGGCAAGGCUGCUGCAGGGUGCGUGAGGCCACCGUGGGGCGCAUGAGGCCACCGCGACUGGGCCGUGGACCAGGCCGGGCAGAGGCAGCCGCUUGCCUACAGCAUGGCCCCCCACGGCCGGCCCCCCACAGCCCUCUCGCAGCCCCCCAAGCCCCGCUGUCCAGGCAGGGCCUGUCCCAGCCCCGCUUGCCCCGCACCCCUGCCCCCUUCACCCCUGCCCUAGCCCUUCUCACCCUAUACCCCCGUCCCUCUGACCCCACACGC